AUUGAACGCUGGCGGCAUGCCUUACACAUGCAAGUCGAACGGCAGCACGGGUGCUUGCACCUGGUGGCGAGUGGCGAACGGGUGAGUAAUACAUCGGAACAUGUCCUGUAGUGGGGGAUAGCCCGGCGAAAGCCGGAUUAAUACCGCAUACGAUCCACGGAUGAAAGCGGGGGACCUUCGGGCCUCGCGCUAUAGGGUUGGCCGAUGGCUGAUUAGCUAGUUGGUGGGGUAAAGGCCUACCAAGGCGACGAUCAGUAGCUGGUCGGAGAGGACGACCAGCCACACUGGGACUGAGACACGGCCCAGACUCCUACGGGAGGCAGCAGUGGGGAAUUUUGGACAAUGGGCGAAAGCCUGAUCCAGCAAUGCCGCGUGUGUGAAGAAGGCCUUCGGGUUGUAAAGCACUUUUGUCCGGAAAGAAAUCCUUGACUCUAAUACAGUCGGGGGAUGACGGUACCGGAAGAAUAAGCACCGGCUAACUACGUG
rnacentral:rRNA from 1 species